GACAGAGGGUGCAAACGUUGUUCGGAAUUACUGGGCGUAAAGGGCAUGCAGGCGGUCUGGCGCGUUUUGUGUGACAGCGGGGGGCUCAACUCCCCGAGCAUGCGAAAGACGGUUGGACUUGAGGGCUCGAGAGGGACACGGAAUUCCGGGUGGAGUGGUGAAAUGCGUAGAGAUCCGGAGGAACACCGAAGGCGAAGGCAGUGUCCUGGCGAGUGACUGACGCUGAGGUGCGAAAGCCAGGGGAGCGAACAGG
rnacentral:rRNA from 1 species